rnacentral:misc_RNA from 1 species
UUACAUUCUUCUUAGUGGGAUGCCGCCAUUUUGGGGUAAGACUAAGUCACGAAUAUUUGACGCUGUAAGGGCUGCGGAUCUGCGAUUCCCAUCUAAUCCUUGGGAUUGGAUAACUGAAUCUGCAAAGGAGUUAGUAAGGGGGAUGCUUUGUACUGAUCCUUCUCAAAGGCUUACUGCUCAACAGGUUUUGGAUCAUUCCUGGAUGAAGGAUGAUACACCGUGUGCUGAAGAACCAGGUCAAUUUGAAGAGCAAAGUUGUGAAGAAUGGGAUUUAGGUGGUGGCUCUUUCUCUAUAAUGAUGGCCAGGAAUCAGGACAUCAGCUUUGGAACUGGCUCACUUGUUAUUUGUGAUACUGAAUCAUCUACUUUCAGAUGCAGAUCGUCAUUUUCUUCCUUCCUUGUGGAACCUUCAACACCUUGCUCUGUAUCUGCUCGAUUUUCUUUCUGUAGCAGUGGCAAUUUUAAUGUCUUGGAACUUUCUUCCCCUGUAUCCUCAAUGCCAAGCUUUGCAUUCUUAAGCCAUGGUCCUGUAACAGAGGAAGGGAGUUGUACACUGGAUAUCUCAAACAACAUUUCCAGUUUGAAUCCACGUCAUGGAGGUAAGCUGGUUUCAUUUCUUUGAUAGUUCAUGAUACAAUGAUGUCAUUGAAUUUAUUUCUUUUUUCAAAAUAUUCUAUUAUGCAGAGCUCAGCUUGGAGAAGAUGUUCAUGUUAUCUGAAUCUUCUCUUUUCUGUGGACGUGAAGCUAGAGAAAUGGAACGCAAGCCAGGUGAUGUUAAGAGGCCAGGAGGAGCCAUUGGGUCUCGGAUGGGCAUGCACAGUAAGAGGAACCGUACAAUUGGUCUUGGUGAGCAUGAACAACUCGAUCUCAUGGUGACUGAAUCAGUAAUCCGAUGGGCAUCAUGCACGCGUCUCCCAACUGCUCCAUCUCUUAGGUCUUCUCUUGUUUGUUGAAACUUGAAAGGGAGGGCUGACUGACAACCUGAAGCUAAAGAAUGUAUGUAACCGGACGCUCGGAUGGAUGAUUGAUGUGGGAGAAAUUGGCAUGCCAACGCUCGUUUCUACCAGCCAAUGUAUUUGUAAUACGUUUGUUUGUCCUGUUUUGCUGAAUCAUGGUGAGCAAGUCUUAGGCAAGCUUCUAAUGGUGGUGUGUUUUGAGUGAUGUCUUUUUGUUAUCGUCAGUUUGUCAACUACUAGGUUGCAAGAGCACCAAGCAGCGAGUAAUGGGCUGCUGCCUUGUUUAUAAAGCUGAAUUUUGUAGUAUGAAGUUUUCCGAGUUUCAUCAUUCUGUGUUCCAUGAAUGCAAGAAUGUGGUGAUUGAAUCUUCCUCUUCGUUUCCCAACAUACUUUGUGCGAAGUUGGUUGGUAAGAAAUGGUUGACUUUAUCUAUUUAUUUUUUUAACAAUGGAGAGGUAUAGGAUUCAAACU